CCGGGGCCUGGUGAGGCCCGUUCCUGCCCUGUGCCCCUGCUGUCAAAAAGGCUGGCUCUCCUUGGCACCUCGUCCUGUGGGCGGAUCCCAUCCGGGAUCCAGGGCUCGUUCUGCAUGGCCACUCUGGGCAUGAAUCUGAGAAGAGUCGAAUGCCAACCCUGCAGGCCCACACAUGGAAUCAAAAGCUACUCAGCGGGCCUUCCAAAGACCUGGGUGACUCUGCCAGGCCACGGUCGGCCUGUUUCUUCUAGACCCACAGCCGGCUUGCAGUUUGCUUUGCUGGGCCCAGCCUCAUGCAGGGUUUCCGGUGCGUCCUUUUGGGACCCGUAGACUGGCAAAGGCAGCGCCAUAUUGGGUGAGCAG
rnacentral:lncRNA from 1 species